rnacentral:rRNA from 1 species
UACGGGGGGGGCUAGCGUUGUUCGGAAUUACUGGGCGUAAAGGGCGCGUAGGCGGUCGUGACAAGUCACUUGUGAAAUCUCCGGGCUUAACUCGGAACGGUCAAGUGAUACUGUCGGACUAGAGUACAGAAGGGGCAACUGGAAUUCUCGGUGUAGCGGUGAAAUGCGUAGAUAUCGAGAGGAACACCUGCGGCGAAGGCGGGUUGCUGGGCUGAUACUGACGCUGAGGCGCGAAAGCGUGGGGAGCGAACAGG